AUGCCAUCCUCCAGUAUACCGGUCCCAGAUAGGGAUCUGGGAAAUUCUCCGUCUUCGCGAAAAGGUAACGUAGAGGAUUUACGAAGGCACAACAACAAACUAAAGUCAGAUUUGGAAGCGGAGCGCGCCAAGGUUCGUCAGGUUCUGCGCGAUAAGUCUGCAGAGUUGAAAAGGAUCCAGGACGGGUUUGAAAAGGAAAAGCAAAGAGCGGUCGAACAAGCGACGAAACGAUUGAUUACUGAACAUGCGGCAGAGCUAAAGAAAGCUCGAGAUAACAGUGCUAAAGAGAAAGAUAACGAACUUCGACAAGUGCUUAAGUUCAAGGAGGAAGAAGUUAAGACUAUGAGGCAACAAAUUACUGAUGAAAAAGAGAAAAACAGACAUGCUGAGGAAGAGUUAAGAAGGGUUUUAGUCAAUAGGAGUAAGGAAGGAGAAGAUCAUUCUGAAGUGGAGCGAAAAUUACGCAGCGAGAUCGCUACACUCAAAGAACAGAAGCAAAAGGCUGAGGAACUAUAUCGAGCCAAAUCUUCAGCGGACAACGAAAAAGCUGAACUGAUACGUCGCUUGAAAGCCGAUCACGAACUCGAGCUUCAAAAAUUUGUGAAAGACUCGAAACGUGAAUCAAUUCAUAGUUUACAACAGAGGAGGUUGACCGAGAAGGCAUUAGAAGAAAAGGAGCAUGAACUGGCUUACAAGGAUCAUUUAGCAAGGAAACUCGAAGCCGAGAAGGACGACCUUCAAAGAAGAUUGUCUGGAGAUGUCGAGAUGUUGCGGCGAUCAACUCUUCGGACGGGCGCUUCGUUUGAUUUAGGUGCCAGCGAUCGCCUGGAUGAAAGCCCCCUUGUGCGAAAAGAUAAAGAACGAGAAUUGAAAAAGAAAAAUGCUGAAUUACAAUCAAAGGUGGAAAGCCUAGAGAAAAAGUGUGCUGUACUGGAGAAAGAGUCAUCUAAGAGUGGAAACCUGAAAGCAACUUUUGUGGCAGAAGAAAAAAUAAAGAAACUCAAGAAGAGGAAUUCUGAGCUUGUGUCCAUUGCACGACAGUUGGAGGAAAAGGCAAAGAAACUUCAGGAAGAGAAAGUUCAGGCUCAAAAAUUGGUGGAGGAGAACAGUUCUAACAGUGCUGGGGUGGAGCAUGUGAAAAAGAUGUAUGCAAGACAGAGAGCCAAGGAUCUUGCUGAACAUGCUAAAGCAUUGUUGUCUAAGGAAAAAGAACUGGAUGAACUGAGAAAAGAGAUGUCAACACAAAAGAAUGGUCCAGAUUUCCCGCAAGAAAAAGUUGAAGAGCUUCAAUCCAUAAUUCGUCAGUCAGCCAAGGAGAGGUUGUGGCUUGAGAGACAAAUUUCCAAUGGCGAUUCUUCUCGUGAACCUAGUCCUCUGCUACUGUCAGGUGAUCUUGCUUCCGAAAUCAAGAAGAAGACUGAAAUACUCAACAGGUUGGAAGAUGAGAACAAUAAUUUAAAAACUUCAGUGGUUCAACUGCAAAAGGCUGAGGCUGAAAGCUUGAAAUUGGCAGAGGAGCUGAAGGAGAAAGAGAAGGAAAACCAUAAGCUUGUGAGUGACUUAGAGGAAAAACAGACAAAGUGUUCCAAACUGGAACAUGAAAGAGAACGAUUUGCUGCCAAAUGCACCAUGCUUCAGAAGAAGAAUGCAGAAAUGACCAAAAAGAUGGAAGAAUUAGAAGAGAUGGAAGAGGAACUCAGUAAUGUAAAGGAAAAACUUGAGGUUUCAGAUGUGAAGUGUGGCCUGCUUACAGAUGAGUGCAACAGAUUAAAACACCAGCUGGAAGGGCUUCUUCAUGUUAAGGAGGAUCUUAAGACUAUGGAGCAACAAAAGAUGACGAUAGAGAAGGAACAUCUUAGCAGUCUUGAAAAACUUAAGCAGAGAGAAGAAGAAAUUAGGCAACUUCACAAGAUCCAGGAGGAAGCCAACCGAGCUCAUGAGAUGGCUGUGACGUCACUAGAAGAUACUGUGCGUAGUUUGGAACAGAAGUGUAUUGAGGCUGAAAAGAAUAACAUUAACCUCAAAAAAGAGAUGGAUGAACUGAAACAGAUGGAAAGGGACAGUAACAGAAGAAAAGAAGAAGUUUGUCACAGAUCAACUCAGACUACACUUGAAACAUUCAACAAAGAAAUUCCAGCUGUAGUAGAAGUUAAAGGCAUUGCAGUCAAAGGUCAGCCUUCACUUAAAGAAAGUCCACAACCACCUCGCAAACUUUCUAGUGAUGCUGCAGAUGUACUGUCAUCUCAGAUCAUGCCAACCAAGUCUGCUACCUUCGAAGAAAAGGUUGAGUCUUUCCUUGUCAACUCCAGCAAGCCCCAACCUGUUGCAGGAGAAGACACCAAUACUCCAGCAUCAGAGGAUAUAUUAGAGUCACUGGCUUCAAGAAUUAAUCAAUUAGCAGCAUCUGAUAGUGAAGAUGAUCCACUCAGUGAAAAAGCAUAUGCAGAUCCAGGGGAUGAUGUAGAAACAGAACAGAAACCUGAAAGAUCUGAUUUGGAUUUUGAUGACUUGCACCGGCGCAUUGAUCAAGCAGAAGUAGAUGAAGAUACCAGCAGCUCCAUCAGCACAAUGGAAAGAGCCGGCAGUGAGGCUAGUCAAGAUAUGGCCAGCAUGGCUGAAGGAGACUUGGGUGACUUAGAGGAUAAUCAGCCAGACAGCUCUGCUCCUGAAGAUGAACAAGCUGAGCCCUCUACACUACAGCCUAUUGGUAAACUGAAUGUGCAUAAUGCCAUGCCAGCCAGCAGUAAAGACAUCUCAACAGGUACCAACAAUGGGUUCAGUGCAGAAGAGGAGGCACUGGACAUUAGAUAUCUUGAAGGCGAUAACAGUGAUGUGGAUCCAGCCAUUCAAGAGAAACUUGCUGUCUAUAUUGCAAGGUACAGUUAUGACCCUUAUCAACACUCACCAAAUGAGAAUCCUGAUAUGGAGCUGGCAUUCCAGGCUGGAGAUUAUUUGUAUGUCUUUGGCGAGAUGGAUGAGGAUGGAUACUUUUUGGGUGAAUUGAUGAAUGGCCAGAGAGGAUUUGUGCCUUCUAACUUUGUGGAGAAAGUCGCUGAUGAAAGUGAAAUGACUUUGAUGAUGAAUGGCACUGGAGAAGGAAUUGAUGAAAUACCAGACAGCAGUGAUGAAGAAGAAACAGAUGAAGAAGAAAGCUUCUCGGAAGAUGGACAAACCGAACUUGCAAUACCGGGAGAAAAUGGCGAGCGGCAGAUGAAACCAGUGCGCAUGCUUAAGUUCUCGGGUAAACUUCAUCGUGCGUUACGCUUGUCAGUGGAACAUAUCCCCGACGUUGGACUUCAGGACAUUGAGGAAGAAGACGAAGCGGAGAUAGAGGAGGAAAUAGAAGAGGAGCAUGAUUCAGGGAAUGAAUUUGAUGAACAGGAUGGUUCGAAAGAAACUGGAUUUAGCCAGGAUGGCAUCACGAGUGAUGAAAUUGAUAUAAUGCCUCGUAGAGUUCCCUCCCCUAGGAGGCUCCACCUUGAGCGUCAGUUUACCCGGAGCGUGCUCCUAAGUUGGAAACCCGCUGAUUUGCCUGCAGACCAAGUGAAAGGUUAUGGUGUGUAUGCGAAUGGAGAGCUACGACUUAUGAUCAAAGGAAGCAGCAAAACAAAGGCGCUUCUGGAAGAUAUUGACCCCCAGGAGACAUACCGCCUCUCUGUACGCACCAUCACAACGCAGGGAGAAGAAUCAUCAGACCGCUCAGCUGUGGUGACAAUUGGCAAAGAUGCAAAUUUUGCUCCCAGUCACGUGCAUGUCACCUGCAUUUCUCCCACGUCAGCUAAGAUCGAGUGGUCGCCUGGCAACAGCUCAUUCAGCCACGAAAUCCUUCUAAAUGGGGACCUCCAUAGAACAGUUCGCCCUGGGACCUUCCAGCACACAAUCAGUAAUCUCGAACCGGAUCAGUGGUAUAAGGUUCACAUACGUGCAAAGGAUCCUAAGCGAGUGUCAGUUGACGAUCGUGAAGAGGAUAUCGAGGUUGAUCUGUUGACAGCUGAAGCAGAAUUUCGAACUGAACCAGGAGGUCUGCCAGAUCCACCUCUCGAUGUGGAAGCAACUCCAGGUCAAUCAAACACCCUUGAUGUUAACUGGAUUCCAGUGACAAUCACAGACAAAGGUGCCUCAAACGGCGCUCGCGUGACAGGAUACAAAGUUUACAUCAACGGCUUUCCAUGUACGGAAGUCACGUCACCCACAGCAGAUUGCGUGACAGCCGUGUCGUGGAUGGUCGAACGGGCGAGCAAGAAAAGUCACAGCGAUGUUCUUCGUGUUAUUGUUAGAACUCAGUCGUGUGAGGGCGAGUCAGCUGAUUCAAAUGAAGUUGUUAUGCCCUUAGGUAUGUUUAAUUUCAAGGCAAAUCAGGUUAUAACACCUAAAGAAACUGAGCAGGUGUUGCAGAGCAAUGAUAUGUUGUUAGAAAGAUCUUUCGGAUCUCAUGGAGGUCACGAAGGCUCAGAUAACUUGGCGAAUGGUGAGCUGGUCUCUGAGCCACCAAGGGAACGAGCCGAUAGCGUAAGACGCUUUAGUAUGGGCGAGAAUGGCCAGCCACAAGUAGUUUUAGUUGAAGACAUUGCCAAACACACCAAGGACGAUUCUGGUCUUCUUGCGCAGCCUCGAACGAAGGGAGAACCGGUCGUGUGGAAAUACGAGACCGGGGAUGAAUCGGAAACUGCCGAAAGUAUCACGAAAAGCGACGGAAGAAGUGGAUCCGAAGACGAAGAUGAUGAAGAAGUUGAGAUUUGUAUACCAGACGAUUCGGAGGAUAAAGAGCAAGCUGCUAAAACAGAGACUGUGGUGAAUGUGGAAGAGCAAGGCUAUCAACGGCUUGAAGAGAGUAACGAUGACAUCGAAGCUGAUACCGAAGUUCCCAAGGUCGAGCAACAACUUGCUGAGGAAGAACAAGCGCUUUCUGGCGAAGAAACAUCAGAAACGCAAAAGAAUCCUUCAAGAAUUAGUAAGGGGAGCGAUAUGUCUUCAGAGAGUGACCUCGACAUGGAAGAAUUAGGACAGUCAUUGGAAGAAGCGCAGAGUGUUCAACGAACAAGUCCCGAAGGAAAGGAGAGCGAGGAUAGAAUGCCUUAUAUUCGUCCACUAGAGUAUGACGAGAGUGACUUUGAAAGUGAAUCAAGCGAACAGGCCCCGCUUUCCAUAAUUCAAGAAGAAGACGAGGAAGACUUAUCGGAAGAGGUACAUUUUCCGCGCUCACACUCGGCCUCCGAGGGCUUCGAGAGCGAUGAUGAUGUCAUGGAUUUACUCGACGAUGAGCAAGUUUGGGAUCAAUCGUCGGGACGCGUCGACUUCGAAAGCGUUCGUAAAAUAUCGCAAACAGAAGGUUCUUCGGCGGUGAACACCAAUAAAACGUCAGAGGGCCAAGGCUUUGGAAAAUAUUUAGCAAAUAGUAGUGACCAGCUAAGAACAAACGCUAACCAUGGUUCACCGUACAGACUUGUGGAUAAUAUCAAGCUUUCAGAAAGUGAAGGAGAGCUGGUGGACAACGAUGGCAUCGACAUUACCUACAGUGACACUGAGGCAGACCGAGGGGAACUAAAAAGGAGUGCGACUCCGCUAGAUGGACAGUAUGGGGAAGGAAUGAUGCGGGAAGAACAACCGCUUCAUCACGCGUAUGACGAGGCUACGCCGGCGGCGGAGGGACAGGCGCCUUCUGAUCAAGGGUACGCGGGCGGAGGUGCCCCGGAGGAGCGAGUGCGUGUGUUCUUAGCUCUUUAUGAUUAUGACCCUGCUACUAUGUCACCGAAUCCCGAUGCUGAAGAUGAGGAGCUGACGUUCAAUGAAGGAGACUUGAUAAAGAUUUACGGCGACAAGGAUGAAGAUGGAUUUUACUGGGGCGAACUAAACGGGAGAGCGGGGUACAUUCCGUUCAAUAUGGUAUCAGAAGUUCAUCUCGACGAUGAAGAAUCCGGUAGUACUGUCACGACGCCUUCCAUGAGCAUUACUCAGGAAUCUGUCGCCCAGCUCCAGCCCCUUGAGGAAGCUCCCCGGGUAGAGGAGACUGAAGCUGGCCCUACCCCGUCCGACAACUUGCUUGAGGAGGUGAUCCUAGAAGAUGGCGAAGAAUUUGAGGACCCGAGAUCGAGUGACAAUUAUCAGCUGCCACCCAGGAGAAUGGUAGCUCUGUUUGAUUAUGAUCCACAGACUCUGUCGCCCAACCCUGAUAGUGAGGUUGAACUCAAGUUUAGAGUUGGUGAUAUAAUUUAUGUAUACGGCGAUAUGGACGAGGAUGGGUUCUUUACAGGUGAACUCCGUGGAAUUCGGGGUUUGGUACCUUCAAAUUUUCUUGAAAGUUUGUCUGAUCCCAUGGAGGAAUCUCAACUUGACACAAGUAACGACAGCCAUGAAUCUUCGCAUUUUACUGUUAUCUGAUGUGAAGAACGACCUUGGAACAGCGGCAGGGGAAAGCUCGAUUUAUGUUAGUACAAUAAACACCAUUCACGAUGUAGAGGAGUAGCUUUAACCAUAACGAGAACGACAACGAGCUUCAAUACGAAGAGUCUCCCAUGGAUUCCCCAGAGAAGUAUAACUCAAUCAAUGGUAGUCACAGCAUUCCAGAUGACACGCCCAAAAAGAAAAAGGGAAUCUUUUCCAAAGGAAAACAAAUGUUUAAAAAGAUCGCCAAAG
rnacentral:misc_RNA from 1 species